GCUAAACUGCAGCUGCUAUAAAAGUGUCAGUGUCCCUGUGCCAUAUUAAUGAUCUGUAUGUGUCACAGUGCAUAGAUAGAGACAUGUCUUAUCCCACUUAUCUACUGCUGCUGCUGCUACUGGGGAUCCUCCUGAUCUUUAUCCAAGGUUCCUAUGGGCAGAUUGUACUGACUCAGUCUCCAGAUUAUGUCUCUGUGUCACCAGGAGAAACUGUCACCCUCACAUGUAAAGCCAGUAGCAGUGUUACUGACGAUGAUGGAGACAGUGCUAUAGCCUGGUACCAACAGAAAUCGGGGCAGGCACCAAAGCUGCUGAUCUAUGCUGCAAACACCCGACACACAGGGAUCCCAGAGCGGAUCAGCGGCAGUGGGUCUGGAACUGAUUUCACUCUUACAAUCAGCAGAAUGGAAGCAGAAGAUGCAGCAGAUUAUUACUGUCAGCAGUAUGAAGAGUUCCCUCUCACACAGUGAUACAGAGCUGAACAAAAACCUCCUUCCUCUUUCUAUAGAAGCUUCAGUUACACACACUGUAUAACAUCUUACUGAGAUAUCAGACUUCUUACUCUGCUGCCCUCCUGGCUAAGGGGUUGAUGGUAAUUAUUGAGAAACCAAUUUAUUUUGCCUCGUGUGGGUGCUCAUAUGGGCUCUGGGAGCCGCCUGAUUAAUUUCUCUUCUAUAGUAAAAAUGGGGAAGUAUUGAGCAGUGAAUGGGUUUCAACAUUUACAUUUAGAGGCACAUUUUUCAAAGGUCAAAUUUCGAAUUCAUGUGAGUUUUUUUUUAACUC